rnacentral:rRNA from 1 species
UACGAAGGGGGCUAGCGUUGCUCGGAAUCACUGGGCGUAAAGGGUGCGUAGGCGGGUUUUUAAGUCAGAGGUGAAAUCCUGGAGCUCAACUCCAGAACUGCCUUUGAUACUGAAGAUCUUGAGUCCGGAAGAGGUGAGUGGAACUGCGAGUGUAGAGGUGAAAUUCGUAGAUAUUCGCAAGAACACCAGUGGCGAAGGCGGCUCACUGGUCCGGUACUGACGCUGAGGCACGAAAGCGUGGGGA